rnacentral:rRNA from 1 species
CACACAGCUCAGUAACACGUGGCUAAUCUGCCCUUGGGACGAGAACAACCCCGGGAAACUGGGGCUAACUCUCGAUAGGUAGAGAACUCUGGAAUGAGUCUUUACCUAAAAAGUGUAACGUUAUCCUCGUUGCACCGCCCAAGGAUGAGGCCGCGACCGAUCAGGUUGUUGGCGAGGUAAUGGCUCACCAAGCCUUUUACCGGUGCGGGCCGUGGGAGCGGGAGCCCGGAGAUGGGCACUGAGACAAGGGCCCAGGCCCUACGGGGCGCAGCAGUCGCGAAAACUUUGCAAUAAGCGAAAGCUUGACAGGGCUAUCCCGAGUGCCAUCCGCUGAGGAAGGCUUUUACCCAGUCUAGAACGCUGGGGGAAUAAGGAGAGGGCAAGUCUGGUGUCAGCCGCCGCGGUAAUACCAGCUCUCCGAGUGGUGUGGAUGUUUAUUGGGCCUAAAGCAUCCGUAGCUGGCUAAGUUAGUCCCUUGUUAAAUCCACCGAAUUAAUCGUUGGAUCGCGGGGGAUACUGCUUGGCUAGGGGACGAGAGAGGCAGACGGUAUUUUCGGGGUAGGGGUGAAAUCCUAUAAUCCCGGGAAGACCACCAGUGGCGAAGGCUGUCUGCUAGAACGCGCCCGACGGUGAGGGAUGAAAGCUGGGGGAGCGAACC